CAGAGCUAGACUGCAGAAGAAAAAGAGAAAGAGAGGGGAGAAGAGGUCAAGUGUGGAAACAGCAAGAAGGCUGCUGUCUGCAAGCCAAGAAGAGAGCCCUCGCCAGAAACCAAAUUAUCCAGACCCUGGAUAUUGGAUUUCCAGCCUCCAGAAUGCUCCUUGAGGUGCAACUGCAUUACAUUUCUACUGACCAGUACUGUGCCAGAUUGAUGACCAGCCAAUACUUGAGUGUUUAUGAUAUGGCAGCAGCUGUUUAACCACCUAAAAGUACUGUAGACCUAGCAUACCCACACUUCCUAUAAGAAAGGUAUCAAUGUCCCCACUUUACAGAAACUGAAGCAGACACACUAGAGAUUAAUUUGUCUGGAAUUACAGAGCUAGUAGGUAGAAUCUGAACCCCGUGGCAAUCUGUAUCCAAAAAGCAGACUUUUACCUCUAUUAUUUUGAUAGAGGCAUGGGACAGCCAAAUGCCUAGGCAAAUAGGGUAAGGUCCCUGGAGAACCUCCAACCUGCCCAAGUCAUUGUGCACAGGGGGCUUGGCUAAACAUGCCCACGGUGAAAAAUUCCAUCUUUUAACACAUGUGCAAUAAGGGAAAUAAAUCAAUGUGGAGUGGCUCAGACUAAGGGCCCACGUGCACAUUGGAAGAAUGAGGAGGAGUCACCAGGAAUUCACACCUUAUGCAGGGGAGGAGCCUGGCCUUUUCAACUCGUAUGUGAUGGCCUGGUAUUCAAUUUGUGAGGUGGAAACCUGUGUUUGGGAUCCCUCUUUUUGUUAAGAGCUUUCCUUUCACUUAAUAAAUUCCAUCCUCCUCACCCUUCAAUGUAUCCACAUGCCUAAUUUUUCCUGGUUGUGAGACAAGGACCCAGAUUUAGCUGAACUAAGGAGCAAGAAAUCCUGCAUCAAUUUUAAUAAAUUGCAUAACUGAUAAAAGGCAGGAAGAAAGACUCACACUUAAUCUGAAAGAAAUCCCACAAAGUUGAAAUAAGCACCCUUUACUCAUGUUUAAAUCAAAGUACUAAAAACUACAACUGCUCAACAGCAUAUAAACAUUUCUUUUCAACACCAAUUUGAUUUAAUUUAAACACUGAGCACCUACUGACAUGUGAACUCUCUGAAUUAGUAACAGGGCCUACAAAGACUGAUAACAACAUGCUCCCUUCUUUGAUAAAGUCAUAAAGGCAGUGGGUGGG
rnacentral:lncRNA from 1 species